rnacentral:rRNA from 1 species
CCUACGGGGUGCAGCAGUCGAGAAUUAUUCACAAUGGGGGAAACCCUGAUGGUGCGACGCCGCGUGGGGGAAUGAAGGUCUUCGGAUUGUAAACCCCUGUCAUGUGGGAGCAAAUUAAAAAGAUAGUACCACAAGAGGAAGAGACGGCUAACUCUGUGCCAGCAGCCGCGGUAAUACAGAGGUCUCAAGCGUUGUUCGGAAUCACUGGGCGUAAAGGGUGCGUAGGCUGUUUCGUAAGUCGUGUGUGAAAGGCGCGGGCUCAACCCGCGGAGGGCACAGGAUACUGCGAGACUAGAGUAAUGGAGGGGGAACCGGAAUUCUCGGUGUAGCAGUGAAAUGCGUAGAUAUCGAGAGGAACACUCGUGGCGAAGGCGGGUUCCUGGACAUUAACUGACGCUGAGGCACGAAGGCCAGGGGAGCGAAAGGGAUUAGAUACCCUUGUAGUC